AAUCCAAAAUCACGACACCGAUCACGUUGGAUCUCUCGUUCGCCGAAAUAUUCAGGAAUUCAAAAAUCUACGAAAAAUCAUUACACUUCUUCUCGUCCUGGUUACUCGAGAUAUGCUCCUCUUUACGAAGAACCUUCUUCGGUCUCGGACAAUCAACCGUAUACUAUAAUUAUCCAAUUACCGAAACGUGAAGAAAAACGUAAAAAUCGUUACUACGAUAGAUACUACGACAGAGACGAUGUACACGAUCGCGAAUACAUUGGGGAUUAUAGUGAUCACGAUGAGGAUUUCGGUUCUAGAGCGUUUCAUAUCGGUGAGAAGAAAGUACGAAUUAAAGUUACAGAAGGUGCCGACUCGAAGGUACAAAUAAAAAUAUCAAGAAUCGACGACGACAAAGGAAUCGAAAUAAUCGAUAAAAAUAAUACAAGAGUAUUAACGACACCGAUAUAUUCGAAAAGCAACGGAUUAUUACCAACUCGAACUACCGAGGGAAACUGGUUGCCUUCCGAGCUACCAUUAUUCUUUCAAAGACAAAUACAGAGGGUUUGAUCAAAUUAUUCCUGCCACGUGAUGUCCAAUAAUUUCGAUCUGUAUGACAGGAACGAUCGUUUCUUUACUUUCGUUUCUUUUUUUUUUUUCUUAUUUUUAUUAUUAUCGUCCCAACUCAUACGAUCUUUAUGGAAAAGACUGAAUUUUUAUUAGCUCGGUAUUUUAGUUAUCGAGGAAGGUAAGAAGCUAUACAACACGAUCUAAGAGAAUAAAUUUCAAUUGAUAUUUAUAUCCAAUAUACUCGAAUUGAUUUCCGAGUUAAGAAAAAAACAAGUAUCAGAUGUAGAAUUUCAUUUUUGA